CAGCAGUGAGGAAUAUUGGUCAAUGGGCGAGAGCCUGAACCAGCCAAGUAGCGUGCAGGAAGACGGCCCUAUGGGUUGUAAACUGCUUUUGUGCGGGAAUAAAGGGGGUCACGUGUGGUCCUUUGCAUGUACCGUACGAAUAAGGACCGGCUAAUUCCGUGCCAGCAGCCGCGGUAAUACGGAAGGUCCGGGCGUUAUCCGGAUUUAUUGGGUUUAAAGGGAGCGUAGGCCGUCUCAAAAGCGUGUUGUGAAAUGUCCGGGCUCAACCGGGGCCGUGCAGCGCGAACUGUGAGACUUGAGUGUGCGGAAGGUAUGCGGAAUUCGUGGUGUAGCGGUGAAAUGCAUAGAUAUCACGAAGAACUCCGAUUGCGAAGGCAGCAUGCCGCAGCAUUACUGACGCUGAUGCUCGAAGGUGCGGGUAUCGAACAGGAUUAGAUACCCUGGUAGUCCGCACAGUAAACGAUGGAUGCCCGCUGUGAGCCUGUUUAAUGGUUUGCGGCCAAGCGAAAGCGUUAAGCAUCCCACCUGGGGAGUACGCCGGCAACGGUGAAACUCAAAGGAAUUGACGGGGGCCCGCACAAGCGGAGGAACAUGUGGUUUAAUUCGAUGAUACGCGAGGAACCUUACCCGGGCUUGAAUUGCAGGUGCAUGGGGUGGAGACAUCCCUUUCCUUCGGGACUCCUGUGAAGGUGCUGCAUGGUUGUCGUCAGCUCGUGCCGUGAGGUGUCGGCUUAAGUGCCAUAACGAGCGCAACCCCUCUCCGUAGUUGCCAUCGGGUUAAGCCGGGCACUCUGCGGACACUGCCUCCGCAAGGAGUGAGGAAGGUGGGGAUGACGUCAAAUCAGCACGGCCCUUACGUCCGGGGCUACACACGUGUUACAAUGGGGCAUACAGAGAGCUGGGUGUACGCAAGUGCGCCCGAAUCAAGAAAGUGCCUCUCAGUUCGGACUGGGGUCUGCAACCCGACCCCACGAAGCUGGAUUCGCUAGUAAUCGCGCAUCAGCCAUGGCGCGGUGAAUACGUUCCCGGGCCUUGUACACACCGCCCGUCAAGCCAUGAAAGCCGGGGGCGCCUGAAGUCCGUGACCGCGAGGGUCGGCCUAGGGUGAAACCGGUGAUUGGGGCUAAGUCGUAACAAGGUAGCCGUACCGGAAGGUGCGGCUG
rnacentral:rRNA from 1 species